rnacentral:lncRNA from 1 species
GAGAGGUAAUUUGAUCAUAACUUCUAGUAGGAAUGUCCAAAUGACGAACGACUUGAUACGUUAGAAACUAGACUCAAAGGGCUACACUUUAAGUACAAAAUUCAUGGAAAUUAUCUUCACAUUAUGAGAGUUAUACCCGUCCAAAGGCAGGUGUUGUACAAAUUAAGACACCUUUUCUGCUUAAUAUUUCCAACUUUCGCCAAUUAGUGCCAAAACCUUUUAGACUUAUCCAAAUGCAAAUCCAGACAUACGCCCAAAUCCAAAAUCACCAUCCAGACCUAACGGAAUCAUCAAAACUCCGAUCCGAGGUCGAAUAAUAAAAGUCAAAUUUGGUCAACUCUUUCAACUUAAGGGUUCCAACAUGGAAUGUAUUCUUCCGAACAUGUUCUGAAACAUCUGAAAACAAAACCGAUGAUUCAUACACAUCAUAAUAUAUCAUAUGAAAUUAUUCAAGACUUCAAAUAGUUCGAAGGAGCAUAAAUAUUCAAAACGACAAGUCGAGUCGUUACAAAUGAGCUGUUAAUUGGAAAGAAUAUUUAUCACAAUAUAUGCCUCUUCACCGGUUUACCUCAUAGCUUUAAUAGUUUAACGUUAGCUGAAGAACUUUUGGUUUCUUUUCAGAUCAAUGUUCACUUUUAUAAAUGGAAAUGUAUAACCCUCACCAUUAAAGAAACAAUAGAUCAAGAAAGCAGCAGAUUUACUAGGUAUGUUCAUUUUUUAUUUUUUUUUUCCUAUGAGUAUUCAUGACACUAUAUAUUUUUAUUUAUGCUAAUUUUUAUUGUCACUUUGUAAUAUUAUUAAUUAUUUCACCGGAUAAUAAAUUGCACAAGUAUCAACUUUCGUAAUAAAGCAAAUUGACUAGCUUGUGAGUUUUUGAGAAAUGAUUUCUUAUAAUCAAGCUAAUCGACUAGCUAAUAAAUUUUUGAGAAAUUUGGUCUUUGUAAAAUAAUGAGCUUUAUUAGAAGUUUCAUGACAUUUCUUUUCUUCUUCUUUUUUUCCUUUUGCUAAAUAAAUUUCAAAUUCUUGGAAAGAGCAUGUUCCAUGGAUAGGGUGUGCAACUUACCGUCACUAUUUUUUAAUCAUUAUCUUUCUUAUUGAUCUUUUUCUCGCUCGUUGACCCAUUUUAUUGAUUGAUUGAUUCUACGUAGAUGUUUAUGUUUUCCCAAUACUCCUCUCUUGGCAUAAAAAAGAAAAUAAAAAAUAAGAAAGAAAAAAAAACAAAGAUUUUGCUUUGUUAAUGGUUAAUAAGGAAUGAGCUAAUUUAUGGCAUUUUGAAAAAUAUAGCACUUACUAUAUACACAUAAAAAUCGGAACUAUUACAUUACACUUUAUGCAAGCAUAUAUAACACCGGACUUUACAUCAUAUCACUUUGCUCUUGUGUUUACUCUCUUUGUCAGUACAUAGUUGCUCUUUCAAAAACGAAAAUGAAUAUUUCAUAUUUGUUAUGUAAAUUAGGCAAUUGAUUUUACUAGAGCAGGUACUUCAAGAAUAUUGUCUAUAAGAAAAUAUUAAAUACGAUUCGAAUAUAUUUUAUGUUUGCCCCUAAUAAUUUGAAAAUGUAACUCUUUAUAUAUUUUACAUACAUAACUAAAUUUAGUUGUUUAAUUUUGCAGGUUCACACAAUAUCUAAUCAUAUGUCGUUCAAUAAAGAUGUCAAGAAUAAGGUGACCACUCAUCAAUUUAAGUUUGUUUUUUUUUUCCUUAAAUUUUCUAUUACUCAUCACACUUACAGUUUUAAUGUGAUGCAUAUGUCAUUUCAUUCGGUACUACUUUCAUAGGACACACAUGUGCAAGUUUGUAACGCACGCCUUUAAGAACUAGUAUAUUUUCAAAAAAGUACUCUUUAGUCUUUUACGGUUCAAAAUAAUUGUAUGUUAGUCAAAUCAAUUUUGCACAAAUAGUGCUGCGUUAGGAAAUUAAGAAAGCAUUAAUUAUUAUUUUUUAAUUCUACUCUUAAUCCAAUAAAAUAAUCUAAAAAAUACUGAAAUGAGAUAAAUAGUAACUAGAGGAGAUAUAAAGGGUGAUUUACAGAUUUAAUCUAAUAACCCUUAUAAUUAAGUCUAUUAAAUAAUUUUCUGAAUGGGUGUGCCACAUUCAUAAACGAGCUUAGAGUGUGUUUUUUUUAUAAUAGAAGUUAUUUUCCAACGAGAAUAACUUUUAUGAGAAAGUCAUUUUCAGCGGAGGCGGAGCUAAAAUUUGAAAUGUAUGGGUUCUAAAUUAUAAUUUAUAAAUACAGGGUCUCGAAAAAAGUCAUCGAUUUUUCUUCUACUGUAGCUCUAUUGUAGCUCUGCCGCGACUACAUAUGAAAGUUUUCUUCUUAAUAAGGGCAUAAGGCCACUCCAUGUGAAUGCAAGUUGGUCUCACUAAGAAAUUAAAAACAAGAAAGUAGGACAACAACCACAUACCUUGUCUAUCGGCUUGUCGGAGACUCCAAAUUUGAACUUUUGGAAAGAAUCAAAGCACAAAUUGAUAAAGAGAAUGAAGUUCAAAAUGUGGGACAACCCUAAAAUCAAAAAUUAAAAAUCAGAUUUUGUAUAAAUUGUCAAAUAUAAAAUAUAAGAGGAAAACAUGAAAGAAAAAAAUCAGGAAAGAAGAAUUAAAGAAGGGAAAAGGGUCUAACUGCUAAGGGAAAAAGAGCAUACUAUACAGUGAGAGUUGAAAGGCGUCUAGAUCCGGCAGAUUGUGGUAGCAGCGCCAGCAAUCAACAGAGGUAGAACCCUAGCUUUUUUAUUUGGGAUUGAGAAGAUGAGAAGACGUGUUUUUGUUUAG